rnacentral:misc_RNA from 1 species
UGGGUUUGACAUCACGGGAAAAGCUGUAGAAAUACAGUGUCCGUAAGGGCCCGUGACAGGUGGUGCAUGGCUGUCGUCAGCUCGUGUCGUGAGAUGUUGGGUUAAGUCCCGCAACGAGCGCAACCCUUGUCCUAUGUUGCCAGCGGUUCGGCCGGGGACUCAUAGGAGACUGCCGGGGAUAACUCGGAGGAAGGUGGGGAUGACGUCAAGGUACGGAC